GACGAACGCUGGCGGCGUGCCUAACACAUGCAAGUCGAACGGGACUUAGUGGAAUGCGACUUCGGUCAAAUGAAAUUAAGUUUAGUGGCGAACGGGUGAGUAACGCGUGAGGAACCUGCCUUUCAGUGGGGGACAACAGUUGGAAACGACUGCUAAUACCGCAUAACAUGACGAGACCGCAUGAUCUUGUCAUCAAAGCUUUAUGUGCUGAAAGAUGGCCUCGCGUCUGAUUAGCUAGUUGGAGGGGUAACGGCCCACCAAGGCGACGAUCAGUAGCCGGUCUGAGAGGAUGAACGGCCACAUUGGGACUGAGAUACGGCCCAGACUCCUACGGGAGGCAGCAGUGGGGAAUAUUGGGCAAUGGGGGGAAACCCUGACCCAGCAACGCCGCGUGAAGGAGAAGGCUCGGUGUAACGUACUUUACCUAGGACGAAGAACGUAGACGGUACCGUACGGUAGGAAAAAG
rnacentral:rRNA from 1 species